GUCCACGCCGUAAACUAUGAGAGCUAGCCGUUGGGGGAUUUAUCCCUCAGUGGCGCAGCUAACGCUUUAAGCUCUCCGCCUGGGGAGUACGGUCGCAAGAUUAAAACUCAAAGGAAUUGACGGGGGCCCCGCACAAGCGGUGGAGCAUGUGGUUUAAUUCGAAGCAACGCGAAGAACCUUACCAGCCCUUGACAUGGCAGGACGGGGUCCAGAGAUGGGCUCUUUCACUUCGGUGACUUGCACACAGGUGCUGCAUGGCUGUCGU
rnacentral:rRNA from 1 species